rnacentral:rRNA from 1 species
AUUCUGGCUCAGGAUGAACGCUGGCGGCGUGCUUAACACAUGCAAGUCGAACGGGAUCCCUGGCGCUUGCGCCGGGGUGAGAGUGGCGAACGGGUGAGUAAUGCGUGACCAACCUGCCCCAUGCACCGGAAUAGCUCCUGGAAACGGGUGGUAAUGCCGGAUGCUCCAGAUGACCGCAUGGGAUUCUGGGAAAGCUUUUGCGGCAUGGGAUGGGGUCGCGUCCUAUCAGCUUGUUGGUGGGGUGAUGGCCCACCAAGGCUUCGACGGGUAGCCGGCCUGAGAGGGCGACCGGCCACAUUGGGACUGAGAUACGGCCCAGACUCCUACGGGAGGCAGCAGUGGGGAAUAUUGCGCAAUGGGCGAAAGCCUGACGCAGCGACGCCGCGUGCGGGAUGGAGGCCUUCGGGUUGUAAACCGCUUUUAUCGGGGAGCAAGCGAGAGUGAGUGUACCCGUUGAAUAAGCACCGGCUAACUACGUGCCAGCAGCCGCGGUAAUACGUAGGGUGCAAGCGUUAUCCGGAAUUAUUGGGCGUAAAGGGCUCGUAGGCGGUUCGUCGCGUCCGGUGUGAAAGCCCAUCGCUUAACGGUGGGUCUGCGCCGGGUACGGGCGGGCUGGAGUGCGGUAGGGGAGACUGGAAUUCCCGGUGUAACGGUGGAAUGUGUAGAUAUCGGGAAGAACACCAAUGGCGAAGGCAGGUCUCUGGGCCGUUACUGACGCUGAGGAGCGAAAGCGUGGGGAGCGAACAGGAUUAGAUACCCUGGUAGUCCACGCCGUAAACGGUGGAUGCUGGAUGUGGGGCCCUUUCCACGGGUUCCGUGUCGGAGCUAACGCGUUAAGCAUCCCGCCUGGGGAGUACGGCCGCAAGGCUAAAACUCAAAGAAAUUGACGGGGGCCCGCACAAGCGGCGGAGCAUGCGGAUUAAUUCGAUGCAACGCGAAGAACCUUACCUGGGCUUGACAUGUUCCCGACGACGGCAGAGAUGUCGUUUCCCUUCGGGGCGGGUUCACAGGUGGUGCAUGGUCGUCGUCAGCUCGUGUCGUGAGAUGUUGGGUUAAGUCCCGCAACGAGCGCAACCCU